GGGCGUAAGGGCGCGUANGCGGUUUUGCAAGUCUGGUGUUAAACCCCUCGGCUUAACUGAGGAGGAGCGCUGGAAACGGUAAGACUUGAGUAGCGUAGGGGUACCUGGAAUUCCUAGUGUAGGGGUGAAAUCUGUAGAUAUUAGGAAGAACACCUGUGGCGAAGGCGAGGUACUGGGCGCAAACUGACGCUGAGGCGCGAAAGUGUGGGGAGCGAACAGGAUUAGAUACCCUGGUAGUCCACACCGUAAACGAUGUACACUAGGUGCUGGGAAGUAUUUCAGUGCCGAAGCAAACGCGAUAAGUGUACCGCCUGGGGAGUAUGCUCGCAAGGGUGAAACUCAAAGGAAUUGACGGGGGCCCGCACAAGCGGUGGAGCAUGUGGUUUAAUUCGAUGAUACGCGAGGAACCUUACCAGGGUUUGACAUAUAGAUGAAGUUCAUAGAGAUAUGAGUGCUCUUCGGAGCAUCUAUACAGGUGCUGCAUGGCUGUCGUCAGCUCGUGCUGUGAAGUGUUGGGUUAAGUCCCGCAACGAGCGCAACCCCUGCUGUCUGUUGCUACCAUUAAGUUGAGGACUCGGACGGUACUGCCGGUGACAAACCGGAGGAAGGUGGGGAUGAUGUCAAGUCAUCAUGGCCCUUAUGUCCUGGGCUACACACGUGCUACAAUGGCCGGUACAGAGUGAAGCGAAACGGUAACGUGGAGCAAAACGCAGAAAGCUGGUCCCAGUACGGAUUGGAGUCUGAAACUCGACUCCAUGAAGGUGGAAUCGCUAGUAAUCGCGCAUCAGCAUGGCGCGGUGAAUACGUUCCCGGGCCUUGUACACACCGCCCGUCACACCACCCGAGUUGGGGGUACCCGAAGUUGCUAGUCUAACCGUAAAGGGGGACGGUG
rnacentral:rRNA from 1 species